ACCUAUCUCAAAAUCACCCAGAACACACCCGAUAUUGUCAGAUCUCAGAAGCUAAGCAGGUGGAAGCCUGGAAAUUGCUUGGAACAGGCGACCAGCAAUCAGAACAUAGAUGUUAUAGGCU
rnacentral:rRNA from 1 species